UCAGUUCGAUUUUUACUAGGUUAUUGAGUUGUAAUUAUGUUACCUAGAAGCUGUUGUGGAUUCUUUUUUUUGUUUAUUAGAAAAUAAUUUGCCUCAAGUCGAAGUAGUUUUAAGGGGAAGGAUGCAACGAUGGAGCGAUUGUUGGGGCGAGAGUGAGUUAAAUCUUAGGAUGUAAGUGAUGUGAUUCGAAUUUGAAGCUCAUUUGUUUGAGUGGAGUUUCAAGUGGAUAGAUCAU
rnacentral:lncRNA from 1 species